rnacentral:rRNA from 1 species
AGUAACACGUCGGUAACCUACCCUCGGGAGGGGGAUAACCCCGGGAAACUGGGGCUAAUCCCCCAUAGGCCUGAGGUACUGGAAGGUCCUCAGGCCGAAAGGGGCUUCGGCCCGCCCGAGGAUGGGCCGGCGGCCGAUUAGGUAGUUGGUGGGGUAACGGCCCACCAAGCCGAAGAUCGGUACGGGCCAUGAGAGUGGGAGCCCGGAGAUGGACACUGAGACACGGGUCCAGGCCCUACGGGGCGCAGCAGGCGCGAAACCUCCGCAAUGCGGGCAACCGCGACGGGGGGACCCCCAGUGCCGUGGCAUCGCCACGGCUUUUCCGGAGUGUAAAAAGCUCCGGGAAUAAGGGCUGGGCAAGGCCGGUGGCAGCCGCCGCGGUAAUACCGGCGGCCCGAGUGGUGGCCGCUAUUAUUGGGCCUAAAGCG